CAUGAAAUAAAAUAUACAUAAAAUAUAUAUACAUAUAAAGGUCUAAUAAUGAAGAAAUUCAAACGGAGAAGUGUCAACAGUUUUCAGUUUGCUCAAAAGACUGAUCCUCAAAAUGCUGAAGAAGCUCCUCCACUGGAUUUAUCACGAGAUGUAGCCGAAAACAUGAAAUACCUUCUUACAGAAAUCACAAGAAAAGAUCACAUGACUACUUCAAGAAGAAUGGGUUUUCUCAAUAACUUU
rnacentral:lncRNA from 1 species